UACGUAGGCAGCAAGCGUUGUUCGGAGUUACUGGGCGUAAAGGGUGUGUAGGCGGUUCCUUAAGUUUGCUGUGAAAUCUCCCGGCUUAACCGGGAGGGUGCGGUGAAUACUGAGGGACUAGAGUACGGGAGAGGAAAGUGGAAUUCCUGGUGUAGCGGUGAAAUGCGCAGAUAUCAGGAAGAACACCUAUGGCGAAGGCAGCUCUCUGGGACGGUACUGACGCUGAGACGCGAAAGCGUGGGGAGCGAACAGG
rnacentral:rRNA from 1 species